CUAAUCUAUCUGCGGAAAGGUGAAAUUGGUUAGAGUCCGUUUCUCGAGAUGAACGUUGUGCAGGAUUCCUAACCUCGAAAUCCUCUAACUCAACAGGGGGUAUAUUUAGGACAAGUUUAUCAGUGGUUGGACUGAAAUUAGGACCUUAGUGCGUGGAGGAAUAUCGAAUGAUGUAAAUGCUCAAGAAGAUUGUACCCGUUUCCCAACGUCAAAACUAUUCGGAAGCUUGUCUCUGAAUAUCACCGUAGCAUCCUGUUUCUCGAGGAAGGAAACCCCAACAAUUCCAGUUUGCUUCAUUAAAAAAUCAGUCUCAACGACUUGGAAGUUAAUGGGGAUUUGAUUGAUAGGGAUAAUAACCUCACCACAAGUCUGAAUCAUUCCCGGACAGAUUCCAGUAAGAUUAAGAACAAUUUGUGUUUUUUAAAUUUAAUAGUGAUCCGGUGUGUACAAGGAAAUCGGCAUAACAUCGCAGAAAAACCUGUUGGACCGAUACUAUUCGAGCGUCAUCUACAAUAUCGUUAGAUGCUUGCGGUUUGAUCGUAUGU